ensembl:lincRNA
GAAAGAGAUGGGGAGUGCGUGGUUGCUUUUAUGUUUUGAGUUGGAGGAAGAACUGAAUAUAUUUAAAUGCUAAUGAUAAGUACCGGUAGAGAGGAGAAGGAAUAGUUGAAAAAUAACCUUUAAGGAGUGAUUGAUUAUGUAUAGGGGGAAUUGAUGGAAAUAGGAUCACAAGCACAAAAUGAAAGGCUUGGAAACAAAAAGGGUCAUUUAGUUCUCCCACAGGAAAACUUGGCAAAACCCAGCAGAGCCACAGUUUUAAAGUACAAAAUUGGCUCAUUUCAUCAAGCCAUUUUCAAUAUGGUUUCUAGGAGAAAUUCUGGUGUCACUAUUUCUGAACUAAUGCGGCAGGAAUGAAGCCUCAAUUUAUAUCAGCCUACAUUGCUGAGGAGUGUGGGAGAGAAUAUGACAGCCACACACUUCAAAGGUGGAAAAUAGAGGGACAAGUGUUAGUUUACUUGCCAGGAGAAGUCUGAAGCCUACUUUGGAAUGCAGGGUAAGUCGUGAAGCAAGCAUAUUAACCAUCAAUCCCCACCCAGAGGACUUGGGAAGUAGAAGGAGGUGGAAUUCCUAAAAUUGGGGUUGUAGCUUGGGCCAUCAGCAAAUAAGAGGCAAGGCUGAAAGUCUGUUUUUACAAAUCAGAAUCCCAAUUUCUUUC